AUUGAACGCUGGCGGAAUGCUUUACACAUGCAAGUCGAACGGUAGAGGGGGCAACCCCUCGAGAGUGGCGAACGGGUGAGUAAUAUAUCGGAACGUGCCCAGUCGUGGGGGAUAACGUAGCGAAAGUUACGCUAAUACCGCAUACGAUCUAAGGAUGAAAGCGGGGGAUCGCAAGACCUCGCGCGAUUGGAGCGGCCGAUAUCAGAUUAGGUAGCUGGUGGGGUAAAGGCUCACCAAGCCAACGAUCUGUAGCUGGUCUGAGAGGACGACCAGCCACACUGGAACUGAGACACGGUCCAGACUCCUACGGGAGGCAGCAGUGGGGAAUUUUGGACAAUGGACGCAAGUCGGAUCCAGCCAUUCCGCGUGCAGGAUGAGGGCCCUCGGGUUGUAAACUGCUUUUGUACGGAACGAAAAGGUCUCUCUUAAUACGGGGGACUCAUGACGGUACCGUAAGAAUAAGCACCGGCUAACUACGUGCCAGCCGCCACCGUAAUAC
rnacentral:rRNA from 1 species